GACAGAGCUGGCAUUGAAUCCAUGUGGAGCCUCCGUGUGGGAGGAUGCACACCAGCUCUAUAUUGGACACAGGGGAGGAAAAGAGACAAGGUCUUACUAUGUAGUCUGGAACUCACUAUGUGAACAAAGCUAAGUUUGAACUCCCAGAACACUGCCUGCCUGCCUGCCUGCCCGCCCGCCUGCCCGCUGGGUUUUAAAUCAGAGGAGGUGCCACCCUGGGAGCACACCCUUUCCUUGGUUGCUGUUUGAGACUGGGACCCAGGUUCUAACCCUUCGCCAGAGCCAAUCUCCUAGCUUCUUCUCCUAGGGCCUGGCAGUGCAGUGCUGAGCUGGACACAUGGCCGGCUGAGACUCCACUCUGCUUGUCAGCAAUGCAGUUUCCCUGUGAGAGCAUUCCCAAGGUCUUUCACAUCCAUUAUCACUGCAAACCCAUGUUGUUGGCAGCCCUGUUGUUUUGUUCCCUCUUAUGAACAAGCAGGACACAGCCACUCAAGGUCAACAGCUAAGUUGGUGGCUGAUGCAACCCUCUGUCACGCCUCUGUGCUUUUGAAUGAGCUGUUUCUGACUCCAGGAUGUCAGCCUUCCUCCACCGGGCAGGUUCCUUCUGGACCUACACUACCUCUCCUCCUUCCUCCUCGGACUGAGUAUCAAGCCAGCUCAGCGAUUGGCCUCCUCGUGAAGCUUCCCUCUAGUCCCUCUUGGCUCCUGUUCCCUGAAAGGAGUUGCCUGCAGCACACUAUGGAACUAUAGCAGGAGGUCGUGAACUACUCGAAUUAACUCCCUGGAGUUAUCUCUUGCCGGGAAGGAAGGACUCGGGCAGGGUUUUCAGAGGGAAGUCUGGGAAUUUCUGUUGAUGUAUGUGAAUACAUUAUUUUGCUAAGCAAUGCCACGAGGUAAGAGCUAUUGGUUUCUGUUGUUUAACACAUCUACUGUUUAAAUCAGUAUUUCAGGCUCUGAGGUACAGCAGGGAUGGAAAUGGAUAAGAAUCCUUCCCACUGGGUCAGUGGUCGGUAGUGUGCUUGCACAACGCUGCGUGUAUCGAACCCAGCAUGGCAUAAAAACUGUGCAUGGACUGGAGAGCUGGCUCAGCAGUUACGAGCACAGGCAGCUCUUCCAAAGGAUCCAGGUUUGAUUGCCAGCAUUCAUACCCACAGUUUAUGUUUACAACUGUCUGUAACUCCACUUGCAGGGGAUCCAGCGCCCUCUUCUGGCUUCCAAGGGCAUCAGGCACACAGAUGUACAGGCAAAACACACAUACACACACACAGGGAGAGAGAGAGAGAGAGAGAGAGAGAGAGAGAGAGAGAGAGACAGACAGACAGACAGAGAGACAGAGAGACAGAGAGAGACAGAGAGAGACAGAGAGAGAGACAGACAGACAGACAGACAUAGAUACAUAGAUGGCCAUGGUGGUAUGUAUCUGUAAUCCCAGUAUUUAAGAGGCAGAGAUAGAAGGAUGGUAAGGUCUCAGUCGUCCUUGGCUACACAGUUCUAUGCCAGCCUAGGCUAUAUAAAAUGUUUUCUCAAAAACAAAACAACAAAACACACAAUCAAACUCAGCGAUUAUAGAAAAAGGGUAAAAUAGGAGCAGGCGGCUUAUAAUACAGAAACGUGAAGCUGGUUUAACAUGGGAGCAUCAUGUGGGUGCUGGGAAGUGAACGCAGGUCCUCUGCAAAAGCAGUGCUCUUAACCAGUGAGCCAUCUCUCCAGCUCCCUCAGCCAAGUUUUAUUAAAAGCAAUGUGUGUGCGCAUCAGGACUAGCUGGUUUGGGCUAACACAGGGGGCCAGUAAUCUAGACAAAGAAAGAGAAGCUGGGGGUUGGGGAUUUAGCUCAGUGGUAGAGCGCUUGCCUAGCAAGCACAAGGCCCUGGGUUCGGUCCCCAGCUCCGAAAAAAAGAAAAGAAAAGAAAAAAAAAAGAAGAAAGAAAGAGAAGCUGGCUGGUCCUCAGCAUAGAAAACCAAACUAGCUCACCCUCCUUUGAAAGCUCCACUGAGGGGCUGGGGAUUUAGCUCAGUGGUAGAGCGCUUAGCUAGGAAGCGCAAGGCCCUGGGUUCGGUCCCCAGCUCUGAAAAAAAGAACCAAAAAAAAAAAAAAAAAAAAAAAAAAAAAGAAAGCUCCACUGAAAAGUUCCCCCUGGCAGCAAAAUGUGCAGCAAAUCCUUGUCUUCAAGGAAGCUAACCACCUUGAAUGUUUAAGCGGAAAGAGUAUUAAUCUACCUAGAGCAUCUCUUCCCUCCCUGCCUGCCUAUUUGUCUGACCUGUGGUCCUUCAUUCGGGAGGCGGAGGCUAGAAGAUCAGGAGUUCAAAGCCAGCCUGAGCUACAUGAGACCUUGUCCGGAACAAUCCUACAGCUGACAUCAUACUUAAUGGCAAAAAGUGGCUGCCUAUUCCCCAAGAUUAGCGGCAAAGGUGUGAGCUCCAACUCUUCUCCGUCGCUGUAUGAGUGGCCCCAGACUGCGCAAUAAGAGACUGAGCUCAGCCCUGGAUGGCACGUCUCUAUUAACUCCGCCACCACUGGGACCUGGGGAAGAGGAGGAUGGAGAGGUGGAAUGCUGUUUUCUGGAUGUGAUGUGAGCACUGCAGUCAGCUCACGGCAUCUGAGGUGACCCAUCUGCACAGUAUCAGACUAGCCAACGUCCCGGCACAGACAGCGGAGAUGACCUGCGAGCCCCACUCUUUCUUUCCUGAGGAGCUAUUGACCGUGAGUAGUUGCCAGGGGAGGAAGAAUUCACUUCUAAGGAUGUGGCCACUGGUAGGUUUUCCAUGCUCCACAGGAUGGCCUCACAUCUGUGCACAUACAGUCAGCAAUAACUGCGUGUGUGUGUGUGUGUGUGUGUGUGUGUGUGUGUGUGUGUGUGUGUGUGAGAGAGAGAGAGAGAGAGAGAGAGAGAGAGAGAGAGAGAGAGAGACAGCAGGUUGGAAAGGGGCAUGUUGAAGGAACACGGGAGCAGGGAAAUAGGGUAGAUAUGAUCCUAUUUCACUAUGCAGAUAUGUAUACACAUGUAAAUAUGCACACACACACAUGCAUGCACGCACGCAGGCACAUGAAUUUAUGGUGAUUGCCAGGAGAGUAUCACCUCUGGUAGGUGUCAAAACACCAGUCCACUGACUAAAGUUCUUAGGGUACUUGCUUCUGCAGCCCCUAGCCUGAUCCUCCUGUAAACAUCUCUUCCUUUCCAAUGGUCGAAAGGCCAUCUGGAGAUACUAAGUAAGUAAGUAGCAACCCCAGGGAGCUCUGCUGUCUCUUCCUCAACGUUGUCGGUCUCUUGGACAUUGACUUUCUGUGCGAUAGGCCUGAGUCUGCUAAUGUUUGUUUCAGCCACAGAUGAUGUAACUAUUAUGAAAUCCCAGGGAAUUUUCAUACCGACUAGGAACGAACUGGUAAAGUCAGCAAGGUCACAGGGAGUAAAGACAGUAUAUGAAAGAAACUUUUUUUUCCUUUCAAAUAAGUGGCUUAUGAAGCUUUACGAAAUUCCGUUUGGGGCCAACAAGAUGACUCAGCAGGUAAAGGCACUCGCCACAGAGUCUGAUGACCUGAGCUCAGUAUGCGGUGGGGGGACAGAGACAGUUCUGCAAACAGUCCUUUCACCUCCAAACGUGCCACACCACACAAAUGCCCACACACAUGCAAACAAACGGAGCUUUAAAAGGACCUCAUCUACAAUAGCAUUAAGAGGGAAAAGAUCGGAAAGCGAGAGAGAAACAGGUGUAAAAGAAUCCAUAGUUCUGUUUAUAUAACAGGAUGGGGGUGGGAGGACGGAUUCCUGCUAGGCAAGCGAGCGGCUGACUGCCUGGGGUGGGAUGGGAAAGGGAUGACUGAUGACUAGGUGUCUUAGUGUUGCUACUGCAGUGCUAACACACCAUGACCAAAAGCAACUUGGAGAGGAAAGAGCUUGCUCUCUUCACAUAUCUGUCCACAUAGCAGCUCUCAGUGGAAGCAGUCAAACAGAGCAGGAACUUAGAGGCAGGGGCUGAUGCAGAGGCCAUGGAGGAGUGCUGCUUACCGACCUGCUCCUCAGGGCUGCCCAGCCUCCUUUCUUACAGAACCCCAGACCACAGCCUAGGGGUGGAACUGCCCACAAUGGGCUACGCCCUGCCAUAUCUAUCAUUAGUUAAGAAGAUGCCCUACAGGCUUGCCUGCAACCCGAUCCAUUUUGUUUUGUUUUCUUGUCUUUGAGACAGCAUCUCUGUGUAGACCAAGCUGGCCUUGAACUCAGAGAGAUCUGUCUCUGGAGUGCUGGGAUUAAAAGUAAGCUCCCAGCCGCUACAAACCCAUUUUGGAGCCAUUUUUCUGAUUGAGGUUCCCUCCUGUCAGAUGACUCCAGUGUGUGUCACGUUGACAUAAAACUAUCCAGCGUAGUAGAAGCUGGAGGAAACUUCCGAGAGUCAAGGAAAUGCCCCGUAUACUGAUAUAUAGGCAUAGGAACCUAAUAAGAACACAAUUAACUGAAAGUUCCACUCUGAGGCUGGGCAUGGCGGUGCAAGCUUUCAACUCAGUGCUUGGGAGACAGAGGCAGGAUGACCAGAAGUUCAGAGUUAUCCUCUCUGCUCUAUAGUGAAUUCAUGGCCAACCUAGGACACAUAAGACCCUGUAUCCAAAGAAAAGAAAGUGUAAAUUUGCCAGAAAUG
ensembl:lncRNA